rnacentral:rRNA from 1 species
AGUGAACGCUGGCGGUAGGCCUAACACAUGCAAGUCGAACGGCAGCACAGUAAGAGCUUGCUCUUACGGGUGGCGAGUGGCGGACGGGUGAGGAAUACAUCGGAAUCUACUUUUUCGUGGGGGAUAACGUAGGGAAACUUACGCUAAUACCGCAUACGACCUACGGGUGAAAGCAGGGGAUCUUCGGACCUUGCGCGAUUGAAUGAGCCGAUGUCGGAUUAGCUAGUUGGCGGGGUAAAGGCCCACCAAGGCGACGAUCCGUAGCUGGUCGGAGAGGAUGAUCAGCCACCCUGGAACUGAGACACGGUCCAGACUCCUACGGGAGGCAGCAGUGGGGAAUAUUGGACAAUGGGCGCAAGCCUGAUCCAGCCAUACCGCGUGGGUUAAGAAGGCCUUCGGGUUGUAAAGCCCUUUUGUUGGGAAAGAAAAGCAGCAGGUUAAUACCCCGCUGUUCUGACGGUACCCAAAGAAUAAGCACCGGCUAACUUCGUG